UGAAUUUCGCCAGGAUCACCUCCUCCCGAUCCUGACGAAUGCGGCCGGCAUCCUCCUCCUCCCGAUUGCCGGCCACCCAAAACGACACCCGCCGAACCUCCUCCCUCGGCGGGGGUUGUUU
rnacentral:sRNA from 1 species